rnacentral:lncRNA from 1 species
AUGAUAUGGCACAAAGCAGCCUUCAAAGGGAACACGUGCACUGGUAAAGCACAACACAACACACAGGGAAGCAGACGACCAUCAUGGUGUGCAUGCUCAAAAAAGUUCCUCCUCUUCCAUUUUGAAGGCACGAACCCUGACUGUCCAAGGGAUGGACCCCAACUGUCCCAUGCAACGAACCCUGACUCCGCAAUGAAUCCAGGACAGAACCAAUGAAAACUGGAAACGCUGGACCACAGGAACAGUGGAACAGGAUGCGACGAUCACCAGGUAAGUGGUUUGUCUCCUUUCUUCUG